UCGAGCGGACAGAUGGGAGCUUGCUCCCUGAUGUUAGCGGCGGACGGGUGAGUAACACGUGGGUAACCUGCCUGUAAGACUGGGAUAACUCCGGGAAACCGGGGCUAAUACCGGAUGCUUGUUUGAACCGCAUGGUUCAAACAUAAAAGGUGGCUUCGGCUACCACUUACAGAUGGACCCGCGGCGCAUUAGCUAGUUGGUGAGGUAAUGGCUCACCAAGGCAACGAUGCGUAGCCGACCUGAGAGGGUGAUCGGCCACACUGGGACUGAGACACGGCCCAGACUCCUACGGGAGGCAGCAGUAGGGAAUCUUCCGCAAUGGACGAAAGUCUGACGGAGCAACGCCGCGUGAGUGAUGAAGGUUUUCGGAUCGUAAAGCUCUGUUGUUAGGGAAGAACAAGUACCGUUCGAAUAGGGCGGUACCUUGACGGUACCUAACCAGAAAGCCACGGCUAACUACGUGCCAGCAGCCGCGGUAAUACGUAGGUGGCAAGCGUUGUCCGGAAUUAUUGGGCGUAAAGGGCUCGCAGGCGGUUUCUUAAGUCUGAUGUGAAAGCCCCCGGCUCAACCGGGGAGGGUCAUUGGAAACUGGGGAACUUGAGUGCAGAAGAGGAGAGUGGAAUUCCACGUGUAGCGGUGAAAUGCGUAGAGAUGUGGAGGAACACCAGUGGCGAAGGCGACUCUCUGGUCUGUAACUGACGCUGAGGAGCGAAAGCGUGGGGAGCGAACAGGAUUAGAUACCCUGGUAGUCCACGCCGUAAACGAUGAGUGCUAAGUGUUAGGGGGUUUCCGCCCCUUAGUGCUGCAGCUAACGCAUUAAGCACUCCGCCUGGGGAGUACGGUCGCAAGACUGAAACUCAAAGGAAUUGACGGGGGCCCGCACAAGCGGU
rnacentral:rRNA from 1 species